rnacentral:rRNA from 1 species
GACGAACGCUGGCGGCGUGCUUAACACAUGCAAGUCGAACGGAAAGGCCUUUUCGGAGGUACUCGAGUGGCGAACGGGUGAGUAACACGUGGGUGAUCUGCCCUGCACUCUGGGAUAAGCCUGGGAAACUGGGUCUAAUACCGGAUAGGACCGCACUUUAGUGUGUGUGGUGGAAAGUUUUUUCGGUGUAGGAUGAGCCCGCGGCCUAUCAGCUUGUUGGUGGGGUAAUGGCCUACCAAGGCGGCGACGGGUAGCCGGACUGAGAGGUUGGUCGGCCACAUUGGGACUGAGAGACGGCCCAGACUCCUACGGGAGGCAGCAGUGGGGAAUAUUGCACGAUGGGCGCAAGCCUGAUGCAGCGACGCCGCGUGGGGGAUGACGGCCUUCGGGUUGUAAACUCCUUUCGCCAGGGACGAAGCGUUUUGUGACGGUACCUGGAGAAGAAGCACCGGCUAACUACGUG